UGGGGAAUAUUGGACAAUGGGGGAAACCCUGAUCCAGCCAUGCCGCGUGUGUGAAGAAGGCCCUCGGGUUGUAAAGCACUUUAAGCGAGGAGGAGGCUCUUUUGGUUAAUACCCAGAAUGAGUGGACGUUACUCGCAGAAUAAGCACCGGCUAACUCUGUGCCAGCAGCCGCGGUAAUACAGAGGGUGCAAGCGUUAAUCGGAUUUACUGGGCGUAAAGCGCGCGUAGGCGGCCAAUUAAGUCAAAUGUGAAAUCCCCGAGCUUAACUUGGGAAUUGCAUUCGAUACUGGUUGGCUAGAGUGUGGGAGAGGAUGGUAGAAUUCCAGGUGUAGCGGUGAAAUGCGUAGAGAUCUGGAGGAAUACCGAUGGCGAAGGCAGCCAUCUGGCCUAACACUGACGCUGAGGUGCGAAAGCAUGGGGAGCAAACAGGAUUAGAUACCCGUGUAGUCCCUGAGCGGGCUGGCAAGGCGCAU
rnacentral:rRNA from 1 species